rnacentral:tRNA from 1 species
GCGGCCAUGGCGGAAUUGGUAGACGUGCUAGAUUCAGGAUCUAGUCGAGGUUUUCUCGGUGGAAGUUCGAGUCUUCUUGGUCGCG